GGAGUUAGCCGGUGCUUCUUCUGUGAGUGAUGUCCUUCCUGCCGGCUAUUAACCCGCAGGCCUUCUUCCUCACUGAAAGUGCUUUACAACCCGAAGGCCUUCUUCACACACGCGGCAUGGCUGGAUCAGGGUUGCCCCCAUUGUCCAAUAUUCCCCACUGCUGCCUCCCGUAGGAGUCUGGGCCGUGUCUCAGUCCCAGUGUGGCUGAUCAUCCUCUCAGACCAGCUACGGAUCGUCGCCUUGGUGAGCCGUUACCUCACCAACCAGCUAAUCCGACAUAGGCUCAUCCGAUAGCGCGAGGCCCGAAGGUCCCCCGCUUUCCCCCGUAGGGCGUAUGCGGUAUUAGCCUGGGUUUCCCCAGGUUAUCCCCCACUACCGGGCAGAUUCCUAUGCAUUACUCACCCGUCCGCCGCUCGCCACCAGGGAGCAAGCUCCCCGUGCUGCCGCUCGACUUGCAUGUGUUAGGCCUGCCGCCAGCGUCAUCUGAGCAUAAUACAACUACUGA
rnacentral:rRNA from 1 species